rnacentral:rRNA from 1 species
GAAAUUGCCAUUGAAACUGUUAGACUUGAGAAUGGACGAGUAGGCGGAAUUCGUAGUGUAGCGGUGAAAUGCAUAGAUAUUACGAAGAACUCCAAUAGUGUAGACUGCUUACCAGACCAUAUCUGACACUAAGGCACGAAAGUGUGGGUAUCAAACAGGAUUAGAUACCCUGGUAGUCCACACAGUAAACGAUGAAUACUAACUGUUUGCGAUAUACAGCAAGUGGUCGAGCGAAAGCGUUAAGUAUUCCACCUGGGAAGUAUGCCGGCAACGGUGAAACUCAAAGGAAUUGACGGGGGCCCGCACAAGCGGAGGAACAUGUGGUUUAAUUCGAUAAUACGCGAGGAACCUUACCCGGGCUCGAACGAUAUUUGAAUACAUCCGAAAAGAUGUAGCUAGCAAUAGCAAAUACCGAGGUGCUGCAUGGUUGUCGUCAGCUCGUGCCGUGAGGUGUCGACUUAAGUGUCAUAACGAGCGCAACCCUUACCGAUAGUUACCAUCAGAUAAUGCUGGGGACUCUAUUGGGACUGCCACCGUAAGGUGUGAGGAAGGAGAGGAUGACGUCAAAUCAGCACGGCCCUUAUGUCCGGGGCGACACACGUGUUACAAUGGGAGAAACAAAGGGUCGCUACCUGGCAACAGGAUGCUAAUCUCGAAAAUCUCUCUCAGUUCGGAUUGGAGUCUGCAACUCGACUCCAUGAAGCUGGAUUCGCUAGUAAUCGCACAUCAGCCAUGGUGCGGUGAAUACGUUCCCGGGCCUUGUACACACCGCCCGUCAAGCCAUGGAAGCUGGAAGUACCUGAAGUAUGUAACUGAAAAGAGCGUCCUAAGUAAUCAUN